UACACCUAACUUAUUGCGAAAUAAUUGGAAACUGGAAAAAGGAAGUAUGAACUUGGAUGUCCUCCUGCAGGACUGGAGGUAAAAGGAAGCCAUACACACAAAUAAAAAAGGCCAGUAUUUACAGUAUCUUGUUAAAACCAGCCAUGAACAUAAGCGAACGCACUGCACUGAAUGAUAUAAAUGCCUCCCUAAUCCCGGAUACAUGGAACGAGUCUCCCCCUGGUUGAAUAAACUUGAACAAUUAACAGUGACCCCUUAUUUGUUCUUUGGGGUCCCGGGAUUAGGAAUAAAACCAAAGGGAUCGAUUUGAAAUGAGAGACACCUCUGAGUCACACUUAAUCAUAACUACUCGACCUCCAGCAACAGCGAAAGAAGUAAGAAAAAUGAUAAAUGGCUGAAGGACAAACAGACAAUUCAUGUUUUAAGUUGCCAAUGCCACAGAAGGAAUGAUCACAUGGGUCAGAAAGGAAUGGGACACUAUGAAAAGCAACAGCUGCCUACUAUGGCUCUGGUCCAAGUACCCUACGAACUAUGGGCAAAGCAUAAGAAUCAUGCGGGAUGAGUGUAUUCAGCCCCUGAACAUAAACUGACUAUAAAAAAGGGGCGCUGCUUUGCCAUGAAUUAAAACAAUAUUGACUGGCCCCAGAGGCUGAAGAAGGGAUAGCUAUAGUCUAUUCACUAUUAGUGAAAAUGCAAAGUCUGUGUAAUAGACCCCGAAAGUGGGAGAACGUAAUGACAUAUUAUUCUGUCAUCAAUAACGACAGAAGCUGACACCUUUACAGUAAUUGACCUAUGUUCAGCCCGUUUCCCCAUAUCCCUGCAUAAAGACCGAUAGCCUAUUGUUCCGUGGCUUUGCCAGCAGUGGUGGAAUAACAUGCCAGCCUGCUUACGCGUUGUAAUGGUGAAGGACUACAAUUAUAGAAUGUUAAGCAGUGAACUAGCUGCUGUAAGGUAAACAAGCUUCUUUGAAGA